UACAGAGGGUGCGAGCGUUGUUCGGAAUUAUUGGGCGUAAAGGGCGCGUAGGCGGUGCGGUAAGUCACCUGUGAAAUCUCCUGGCUCAACUGGGAGCUUGCAGGCGAAACUGCCGUGCUGGAGUGUGGGAGAGGUGCGUGGAAUUCCUGGUGUAGCGGUGAAAUGCGUAGAUAUCAGGAGGAACACCUGUGGCGAAAGCGGCGCACUGGACCGGUAUUGACGCUGAGGCGCGAAAGCCAGGGGAGCAAACGGG
rnacentral:rRNA from 1 species